UUUUAGCUCCAUUUCCAUUUCACAGCUUGCAACUCUGGCCGACUCUCUCUCCAUCCCAUUUCACGACCUCCCAUUCCAUUUCGCGACUCUCUCUCUCUCACACAAAGCUCCAGACGAAAUUAACUCGCGAAACUCUGGCCCAAAGCUUCCACUAUCUCUCUGUCUCUCGCGGAAAAAGAAGACGAAGGGACCGAGUACACUGGCUCCCAGAACAGAUCUUGAUCCAUAUAGGGACCGAGUACAUCGAUCCAGAAAAAGAAGACGAAGAAGAUAAAGAUAACUCAGGUGUUGAAAAUUAAUGAAAUAAUGAAUUCCUGUUUGUUUAUGUUUUAUCUGCUUAAUUGCUACUUUUUUAAAUGCAGGGAAUGUGUCUGAGCCAAUGAUUGUGACAGAAAUGCCGAAAGCAUUGUUCAAGAAACCAAAAUUAAGGAACUAUUCUGCCUCUUCUGGUGGUUUGGAUACUAGGAAGAGUAAUGAAAAACUUUUUAGACCAAUUUUUGGAGAAAGGAAUUUCAAUAAGGAACUCGGAUCUUUAGGUAAUGACACUUUAGAUAUAUCAUGGAAUUGAAGUAAUUUUUCUUCUCUUGUUAAUAUUGUUAUGCCUACAUAUACAUGAUUAUUGGUUCAACUGUUUGAUUUUGUUUGUUAAAAUUCUUAAUCCAAAUGCAUAUAUGCGUGUAUAGUAUAUGAUUUUUGAAGUGUACACCAUUUUGAUGAACUUGAAUUUUAUUAGAAAUAGCCUAAGAAUUUGGCAGUGGAAUGUGUACUAGCUUACUAGGUGAGUUUUAAGCUUUUAGGCCUUUAUUAGUAUUUAGACUCUGUUGAGAACUCGAGAUACUUUUGUUUUGCAAAGAAGCAGCCAAGCAAACUUGGAGGACCAAUGGUGAAUUCGAGACAGAGUGAUUAUGCAAGGCAAACUGUUGACAUGGGGGCAUCCAAAUGGAGAGAUUACAUAACUCAAGAAGAUAGUGAUGAGUCUAAUGACAAUGACAAUCUUUCAGCAAAAGUGCCAUGGCAGCGAUAGGCAACGGCAGUCAAAGGUGCAACUUUAAAAUGGAAUGAAUACAUUACAGAAGAUGAUAAUGAUGAUGACUUGAAGUUUCCUAUUGGAGCACUAGUUAGAAUUGCUAAUGUGUGUAAACCAAAUAUUUACUACUUCAAUUUGCUAGAACUAGAAGGCGAAAUGCAAACAGAAUUGUGUCAAUCACGUUUAUUAGAAGUGGGUGUUCUAAUUUUUAUCUUUUCUUGAUCUUGGUAAUUUACAUGGAUCUUUGUAAGGAUAUUUUCUAAGCUUAUUUCUUUGAAGAUUAUGCUAGAAGGCGAAAUAUGCAGAAGUUUUCUUGAUUUUAGUCACCAAGCAUUUCACAUGUUCAAUAUGCAAUAUAAAAAGAUGAAAGGAUCAUCUAUUCUAGUAGUUCAAAUCAGCCUUACAUUUACGCAGUCUGUCUGUAGACAUGAGUUGCAUUUAGGCAGUCUGUCUGUAGACAUGAGUUGCAUUUUAUAUAGACAGUUGUGUGUAUAAUACUAGUAUUUGUGUCAUAUUUUUAUAACAAAGGUAAUCUCAAAUGCAAUUCUCUAUAUAAAAUGCAACUUAUUUCUAUAGAUUGUCCAAGUGAACUGACCAUUUGCAGCUGCUUUAUGAUCCAACUCUUUUUUUUUCCUAUGAAAAUAUACUGACCCUUUUAAAAAUCUAUAUUAUGUGCGUAGAAAAAAACUACAUUUCAAGGGCUUUCUCUUCAAGAUGCCAAAAGGGGUGUCUCCAAUUCUUUCUGUAUUGCUAAUAAGAAUAACAAGAGUACUACUGUAAUAAGAAUAGCCUGUUUUUCCAUGCUACUCAGAUCAAGAACGAGACCAUCACAAAACAGUAGAGCACAAAAUGAUAAGGUCUUAAUAGCAGUUUAGCCAUGGGUGGCACUUCAUAUCUAGUCAUAAAAAAUUGGGGGAAGUAGACAAGCCAAAAUAGAAAAGGCAUAAAACUAGAAUCAUGGGUGUAAAUCCUAGACACACUAAUGGAUUUACACCCCUAGACACAGAAAUUGUGGAAUUUCAAUAACAUUUAGAACCCUAGAUUACACAAUUGGUUCACCAUUCUUAGACAGAUACAUCAACACUAGAUUUACCUUGGAGAAAGAUAUACAGCGAGAGACAGAGAGACAGUGAGACAGUGGAAGCUUUGGGCUAGAGUUUUGCGAGUUAAUUUUGUCCGGAGCUUUGUGAGAGAGAGAGAGUCGUGAAAUGGGAUGGAGAGAGAGAGUCGGCCAGAGUUUCAAGCUGUGAAAUGGAAAUGGAGCUAAAAUGACCGGUAACCCGUUCGGAAUGAUGGUCCGAG
rnacentral:lncRNA from 1 species